GACAGAGGGUGCUAGCGUUGUUCGGAAUUACUGGGCGUAAAGGGCGCGUAGGCGGCCCGUUUAGUCGGGUGUGAAAUCCCGGGGCUCAACCCCGGAAUGGCAUUCGAUACUGGCGGGCUAGAGACCGGAAGAGGUGGGUGGAAUACCCAGUGUAGAGGUGAAAUUCGUAGAUAUUGGGUGGAACACCGGUGGCGAAGGCGGCUCACUGGUCCGGUACUGACGCUGAGGUGCGAAAGCGUGGGGAGCAAACAGG
rnacentral:rRNA from 1 species